AUCGCCGGCAUGUCCAGGCCGGAGAAAGUACAGUGGGGUUGUGGUCAACUUUCCUAUUGACCCAGGGGUUGGGUUGUCCUGGCCGACCAAAGAAUUUUGGACGAUUAGUUUGUCAGCAGGAAUACCCGACCUUUUCAUGGACCCGGCUGUUGAGUUGCUUUGGCCCUCCUGCUCCCUUCGCGAGCCCCUUCCUCUCCCAUGGCGUUCGGGCUGGAUCUCGCCCCUGCUGUCCCCUCGCGUCGCGGCGGCCGUGGCCUGCUGGGUGGAGGCGCGGCCCUCGGCGGCUAUGGAGGUGAGGGGGGCUGCUCUCCCCGGUCUGGGCGGCGUGGCUCCUUGCAGGUGGCCGGCGGUCGUGGAGGUGGUUCCCGGCCGCCGCCGGAGGCUGGAUCCGCCGGAUCCAGCGGGCUCCAGGUCCGAUCUGGUGGCAUCCUUAGGCAAUGGCCUCUCCCUCGUGUGUGGUCCUCGCGGCUACUUCUUCUGGGCGCCCGAUUCCCAGAUCUAGGAAUCUUCUCCAUGUGGGUGCAAAGGUCAAGCUUUGGGUGCAGUGUGUGGUGGAUUUGCGCUAGUGCGGCGGCAGGGGUGGCCGGCUACGUGCUUGCGGUCCACUGCCCUGUGGCUGGUGGAUGAGGGUGGAUUCUCUUGGUCGCCGGAGCGGCGGCUCCGGACGGUGGGCACGGUGACACCACCUCGGCGGGUGUCUCCGUGCAGGUGCUCGUUGGUCGCCCCAGCCGCUUGGGCGGCGGGGUGGACCAUUUGGGGGCGUCCGUCGUACAGGGUCUGCCACCCCAAUUGCUCCGGGCGUCAUCUGCAUCUUGCCUUCGCCGACCCUGCUGAUGGACCUGGUUGGUGCGGUCUUUUCCCGAGCGAAAGCUCUGCCCGACGGUGUCGGUGCCGGUGAUAGCAACGCUUCUGUGUGUCGUUCUCCUCCCUGGAGGUGUCACCGUGGGCGACCUGCAUCCACCAUGGGCUCUGGGUGAAAACUCUUGGUCUGGCAUGUUCUGGACCGGGCAGUGGCGUCGUUUCCUCCUUGGAGGCUCCGUCCUGUGAGCAAGGUCUCAUUUUGCUAGUUGCCAAGGCAAGCUCUGUGGAUGACAGCUUCUUCUCGUCAUGUGGCGAGGCAUGCUUCAACGGUAGCGCACUCUUGAGGAGCCAGGUUCGGCAAUGUGGAUGUGCUCGAAGGCCUUCCUCUGUUGUCUUGACAUCAGCUUCCGUCUGCGCUCUAGGGUGGUGAGCACUCCAUCGUUCGACGGUGCGGCGCCCUUCGAGCCAUGGCGAGGAGCUGGGGGUGCUCCAUUUGGCGAUGGAACAAGAUGGCACUGAUCUGUCGGACGCACAGGUGAUGGCAAUGGCGUAGCUUCCUUUGUCGGCUAGUCUCCUUCCCGAGUUGGCCUCCUUCGCAGCGUUGGUCCUCUGUUCAUGUCUCGAGGGCUCUGAUGUCUUGAUGUUCUGUUUUUUGAGCCUUGUUGCUGCUCCUGGGCAUGCAUCCAUGUAUCUUGCUGGUGUUUUUCUUUUGCUUUUAUUGUGUUGCCGUGUACUUUUGUGUUGGUUGUGAGGGCUUCAUUAAUUUAAAGCCGGGCGUCAGCCUCUUUUCUAAAAAAAAGUUGCUUUGGCUCGCGAAAAAAGAAGAUGGGCUACUAUCGUUGGUAAGGCAUACAAAACAUUUUGAUUCAAUCAAAGCUCAUACAAUAAUAAUUAUUUAGAAAAAUAAUAUGACUUGUCAAAUAAAUGGGGUCUAAAGUACAAAAUUUUCUCACGACGUGACCAUUAUCCAACUGCAUCUACUAUUACUCCAUCCCAAAACCACUAUCCAGCAUGCAUCUCAAGGUAUUAAGUUUACUAGAAUCAAAGCAACACAAUAAGCAAGAUAACAUAGUGUAGGUAGAAAGAAAUGUAGCAAUAAGAUUAAACCCUGUCGUUUUGUCCUUAGUGGAAACAAUAUAAAUAUGUGUCUUUGCCUUUAUUGUCACUAGUUUAGAGCACCGCAAGAUUGAACCCGCUACUAUGCAUCACUUAUUCUGAAGAACUACCCAUCUAUCUUGGUCAGAGAAGACAAAUAAUUCGGAAAGCAUACAUAGCUACUUAAUUAUACGGCAAAGAAACCUCAAAAGAUUCAAUAAUAUUUGAUGAAACAACCUGAUCAUAAAUCCACAAUUCAUCGGAUCCCGACAAACACACCAUAGAAAUUACAUCAAAUUGAUCUCAAUCACACAAGGAAGAAGGUAAACUGGUAUUGAAGAUCCAAAAGAGAUAGAGAACCAUCUGGCUACUACUAUGGACCCGUAGUUCCUAGGGAACUACUCACACAUCAUAGCAAAGGAAACAAGGUUUAUGAAGAUGGCCCCUCCAAUGGAUCCCCCUUUUGGCAGAGCUCUGGAAUAGGGCUCCAGAUGGGAUCUCUUCAGAACAGUGGUUUGCGGCAGUGAUAAAACUCUUAUGCAUGCACGAUGAAUGGUUUUUGGAUUUAUAGGAAUUAUAGGCGGUAGAAUCAAGUCAACGUAGUUUCCAUGAGGCCCACAAGCUCAGGGGCGCGAACACCCCCUUUGCCACGCCACCUAGCCUUGUGGGUUCCUCGUGGUUCUUCUAGACAUCUCCCAAAGCUUCCUAAGUUUCUUGUUGCCCAAAAAAACAUGUUAAAUUGGCAAAGUACUUUGACCUCCAUAGAUAUUGAUUUCCCACGGAACCAAAAACAUGUAGAAAACAAGAACUGACACCGAU
rnacentral:rRNA from 1 species